rnacentral:rRNA from 1 species
GAUGAACGCUGACAGAAUGCUUAACACAUGCAAGUCAACUGUGGCGGACGGGUGAGUAACGCGUAAAGAACUUGCCUCACAGAUAGGGACAACAUUUGGAAACGAAUGCUAAUACCUGAUACUGUGAGAGAGCUUUGCGUCCCAUUCGCUAGUUGGAGAGGUAACGGCUCACCAAGGCGAUGAUGGUUAGCCGGCCUGAGAGGGUGAUCGGCCACAAGGGGACUGAGACACGGGCAGUACUCCUACGGGAGGCAGCAGUGGGGAACAUAGGACAAUGGACCAAAGUCUGAUCAAGCAAUUCUGUGUGCAAGAUGAAGUUUUCGGAAUGUAAAGUGCUUUCAGUUGGGAAGCGGUACCAACAGAAGAAGUGACGGCUAAAUACGUGCCAGCCGCCGCGGUAAUUC